GGAGUCUAUACUGCAGUCGAGCGAGCUUGCCUAGAUGAUUUUAGUGCUUGCACUAAAUGAAACUAGAUACAAGCGACCGUCUAACGGGUGAGUAACACGUGGGUAACCUGCCCAAGAGACUGGGAUAACACCUGGAAACAGAUGCUAAUACCGGAUAACAACACUAGACGCAUGUCUAGAGUUUGAAAGAUGGUUCUGCUAUCACUCUUGGAUGGACCUGCGGUGCAUUAGCUAGUUGGUAAGGUAACGGCUUACCAAGGCAAUGAUGCAUAGCCGAGUUGAGAGACUGAUCGGCCACAUUGGGACUGAGACACGGCCCAAACUCCUACGGGAGGCAGCAGUAGGGAAUCUUCCACAAUGGACGAAAGUCUGAUGGAGCAACGCCGCGUGAGUGAAGAAGGGUUUCGGCUCGUAAAGCUCUGUUGGUAGUGAAGAAAGAUAGAGGUAGUAACUGGCCUUUAUUUGACGGUAAUUACUUAGAAAGUCACGGCCAACUACGUGCCAGCAGCCGCGGUAAUACGUAGGUGGCAAGCGUUGUCCGGAUUUAUUGGGCGUAAAGCGAGUGCAGGCGGUUCAAUAAGUCUGAUGUGAAAGCCUUCGGCUCAACCGGAGAAUUGCAUCAGAAACUGUUGAACUUGAGUGCAGAAGAGGAGAGUGGAACUCCAUGUGUAGCGGUGGAAUGCGUAGAUAUAUGGAAGAACACCAGUGGCGAAGGCGGCUCUCUGGUCUGCAACUGACGCUGAGGCUCGAAAGCAUGGGUAGCGAACAGGAUUAGAUACCCUGGUAGUCCAUGCCGUAAA
rnacentral:rRNA from 1 species